ensembl:lncRNA
CCUUACUUCUCUUCCACUUGGUUUCCUGCACACACACAAAUAUAUCUAGCUUCUUUUUCUUCUUUAUCAGUCAUAGUCCCAGAUUUAGUGUCCCAACUGUCACCUAUGCACUGCUCCCUUUCCUUCUUCCUUGUCUUUGGCUGACAGUUUCAACCAGCACCCUGCUGGCCAAUAGCACUGGAGGUGGAUGCUGUUAACCUGGGCCCCGACUGAUCCGCUCCAUCUUCUCCAUCUUCAGCACCUCCAUCUGCACAUGUCCAAACCAUCUCAGCUUUGACUGCUCGCCUCGAGCUGAUGUACUCAUUUAUAAUCGUCACCUCAGCCUCGCGUCUUUUCGGCGGUGCCACUGUCUCCAAACUUUUUUAGGUUUUUUUGUGUGUUUGUUGUUGUUGAAAAUGUCCGGUGUGUAAUGUAUUUUAUGUACAGUGUAGUUUAUUAGGAGGAGAAGGUGACUCUGGCAGAUGCUUUGGAACGAAACGAUGGCUCAGUUUCAUUCAGCGUACACGAGCCGGGGAUCCCUGCACUCUGUCAAAACAAUGAAAUGCAUUGUUUUCUGUGACAUGCGUUACUGCCUACUGUAGACGUGAUUUUUUUUUUUUUUUAUCAUAAUUUGUGUCAAAUAAGUUUUAGGUUGCCACCAAGAAAAAGCUGUAAUUAUUUUACCUCCUUCCUGAUGGAAACUCAAAACCUUUUGCUAAGCAUUUAAACAAAAACAUUCAUAUUAUUAUAGUUUUAUAAGUUUUUCAAGUUUCUAGUACCAAGUUUCUGGAAGUUGUCAUUAUUUAAAAUUGCACCUGCAAGUUUCCUGAUGAUUUGUCGUGUUUUGUAUAUAAUGGCUCACUCCAAACAGGAUCCUGACUGUGUGCAAAAGCUGUGAGCAUGCUGGAUUCUCAGCUGGCAGAUUCUCUCAGGCUCAAUCAUUUUGCAGCAAGAUGAGCAGAGAAAAUAUCGAUCCAGGGCCACACGACUGUUUUCAGCCAAAAGAAGAAGAAGACAUCCUCAGCAGAUGGUUUGACCCCCACUGAGCUCCUGUCUCAGCAUUGCAGUCAGAUGAACUGUAGCAAGUUCUCCCAGGUGCUUCAAUCACGCUAAAUACCUUGAAUAAUUGUGUGAGAGAAAGUGCGCUGAAACUACAGAGGAUAAAAGCACGGGCUUGUUUAUGUUACUUUGCUGAUUCAUAAAAAUCC